CCUACGGGAGGCAGCAGUUGGGAAUAUUGGGCAAUGGACGAAACCCUGACCCAGCAACGCCGCGUGAAGGAAGAAGGCUUUCGGGUUGUAAACUUCUUUUGUCAGGGAAGAAGAAAGUGACGGUACCUGAGGAAUAAGCCACGGCUAACUACGUGCCAGCAGCCGCGGUAAUACGUAGGUGGCAAGCGUUAUCCGGAUUUAUUGGGCGUAAAGGGAGUGUAGGCGGGAAAGCAAGUCAGAUGUGAAAGCUCUGGGCUCAACCCAUAGCUUGCAUUUAAAACUGUAUAUCUUGAGUGCUGGAGAGGCGAUCGGAAUUUCGAGUGUAGCGGUGAAAUGCGUAGAUAUACGGAGGAACACCAGUGGCGAAGGCGGAUUGCUGGACAGCAACUGACGCUGAGGCGCGAAAGCGUGGGGAGCAAACAGGAUUAGAUACCCGUGUAGUC
rnacentral:rRNA from 1 species